rnacentral:rRNA from 1 species
UACGAAGGGUGCAAGCGUUAUCCGGAUUCAUUGGGUUUAAAGGGUGCGUAGGCGGCGCGGUAAGUCGGGUGUGAAAUCUCGGAGCUUAACUCCGAAACUGCAUUCGAUACUGCCGUGCUUGAGGACUGGAGAGGAGACUGGAAUUUACGGUGUAGCGGUGAAAUGCGUAGAUAUCGUAAGGAAGACCAGUGGCGAAGGCGGGUCUCUGGACAGUUCCUGACGCUGAGGCACGAAGGUCAGGGGAGCAAACGGG